AACGAACGCUGGCGGCAUGCCUAACACAUGCAAGUCGAACGAGACCUUCGGGUCUAGUGGCGCACGGGUGCGUAACGCGUGGGAACCUGCCCUUAGGCUCGGAAUAACUCCCCGAAAGGGGUGCUAAUACCGGAUAAUGUCUUCGGACCAAAGAUUUAUCGCCUUUGGAUGGGCCCGCGUUGGAUUAGCUAGUUGGUAGGGUAAAAGCCUACCAAGGCGACGAUCCAUAGCUGGUCUGAGAGGAUGAUCAGCCACACUGGGACUGAGACACGGCCCAGACUCCUACGGGAGGCAGCAGUGGGGAAUAUUGGACAAUGGGCGAAAGCCUGAUCCAGCAAUGCCGGGUGAGUGAUGAAGGCCUUAAGGUUGUAAAGCUCUUUUACCCGGGAUGAUAAUGACAGUACCGGGAGAAUAAGCUCCGGCUAACUCCGUG
rnacentral:rRNA from 1 species